rnacentral:rRNA from 1 species
GAUGAACGCUGGCGGCGUGCCUAAUACAUGCAAGUCGAGCGAACAGACGAGGAGCUUGCUGGUCUGACAUUAGCGGCGAACGGGUGAGUAACACGUGGAUAACCUACCUAUAAGACUGGGAUAACUUCGGGAAACCGUGGCUAAUACGGGAUAAUAUAGUGAACCGCAUUGUUGAAUAGGGGAAGACGGUUUUGCUGGCGCGUGUAGAGGGAUCGGCGCGCCAGUAGCUAGUGGGGGGGGUGACGUCUUACGAAGGCAACGAGGGGUAGCCGACCGGGGGGGGGGGAGGGUCACACUGGGACUGGGACACGGCCCAGACUCCUACGGGAGGAAGCAGUGGGGAAGAUUGCACAAUGGGCGCAAGCCUGAUGCAGCGACGCCGCGUGAGGGAGGGAGGCCUUCGGGGUGUAAACCUCUUUCGCCAGUGAAGCAGGCCUGCUCCUUGUGGGUGGGUUGACGGUAGCUGGAUAAGAAGCGCCGGCUAACUACGUG